UACGAAGGGGGCUAGCGUUAUCCGGAAUCAUUGGGCGUAAAGGGUGCGUAGGUUGUCAUAUCAGUCUCUUGUUAAAACUUUCGGCUUAACCGGAAAUCUGCGAGGGAAACGGUAUGACUAGAGGAUGGAAGAGGUUUGCGGAACUCAUGGUGUAGGGGUGAAAUCCGUUGAUAUCAUGGGGAACACCGAAAGCGAAGGCAGCAAACUGGUCCACUCCUGACGCUGAAGCACGAAAGCGUGGGUCGCGAAUGGG
rnacentral:rRNA from 1 species